GUGGCUGUCUUUGGAAUGGGUUGCAUUUGUUACUAACGUCAAUGCAGCUCUCAGCAUCCACAUAAAUCAAUCAAGUGGCUCCUGCCGACAGGGCCUGUCCAGUUACCAGGUUUCUGUGCCGUGAUGCCAGACAUU